rnacentral:rRNA from 1 species
GACGAACCGUGCGAACGUUAUUCGGAAUCAUUGGGCGUAAAGAGCACGCAGGCGGUUUGGCAAGUCGGAUGUGAAAACCCGAAGCUCAACUUCGGGCCUGCAUCCGAAACUGCCCGACUAGAGGUAGGUAGGGGAGAUCGGAAUUCCUGGUGUAGCGGUGAAAUGCGCAGAUAUCAGGAGGAACACCGGUGGCGAAGGCGGAUCUCUGGGCCUUACCUGACGCUCAGGUGCGAAAGCUAGGGGAGCGAACAGG